AUUGAACGCUGGCGGCAUGCCUUACACAUGCAAGUCGAACGGUAACGGGCCUUCGGGUGCCGACGCGUGGCGAACGGGUGAGUAAUACAUCGGAACGUGCCCGAUCGUGGGGGAUAACGAGGCGAAAGCUUUGCUAAUACCGCAUACGAUCUACGGAUGAAAGCAGGGGACCGCAAGGCCUUGCGCGGACGGAGCGGCCGAUGGCAGAUUAGGUAGUUGGUGGGAUAAAAGCUUAACAAGCCGACGAUCUGUAGCUGGUCUGAGAGGAUGAUCAGCCACACUGGAACUGAGACACGGCCCAGACUCCUACGGGAGGCAGCAGUGGGGAAUUUUGGACAAUGGGCGCAAGCCUGAUCCAGCCAUGCCGCGUGCAGGAUGAAGGCCUUCGGGUUGUAAACUGCGUUUGUACGGAACGAAAAGCCUUCUUUUAAUACAGGAGGGUCAUGACGGUACCGUAAGAAUAAGCACCGGCUAACUACGUG
rnacentral:rRNA from 1 species